rnacentral:misc_RNA from 1 species
GAUGAAGACGCAGCGAAAUGCGAUACGUAAUGUGAAUUGCAGAAUUCAGUGAAUCAUCGAAUCUUUGAACGCAUAUUGCGCUCUCUGGUAUUCCGGAGAGCAUGCUUGUUUGAGUAUCAGUAAACACCUCAACUUCCAUAUCUUUUUUGAAAUGGGAGUUGGACUUGAGUGAUCCCAACGCUUUUCCUCACCGAAAAGUGGCGGGUUACUUGAAAUGCAGGUGCAGCUGGACUUUUCUCUGAGCUAUAAGCAUAUCUAUUUAGUCUGCCUAAAAAACAGAUUAUUACCUUUGCUGCAGCUAACAUAAAGGAGAUUAGUUCUUGUGCUGACUGAUGCAGGAUUCACAAAGACAGGCUUCGGCCGACUUUGUAAACUCGAUCUCAAAUCAAGUAAGACUACCCGCUGAACUUAAGCAUAUCAAUAAGCGGAGGA